CUCUCCCUCGUCGUCCACGUCUCCCUCUUCCACGGGCAGUAGCUCCACCAGUACCGAAAGUUGGACAAUAAGUGUCCCUGUGGCCAAAAUGGUUGCAUAGAAAACAUUGUCGUGACGGUCCUCCGGCUUCAGAUUCAUCCAUAUCAUUUCGGAUGCGCCUGGACGGGCGUCUGCCUGUGCCUGUCCGUAGUAGCCCGGGGUCAGGGAUGUACCG
rnacentral:lncRNA from 1 species